UUAACUCGGCGAAAAAAAACAAAAAUCCUACUCAUUGGCAACCAAAGGGCAAAGUGGGAGUAUAUUGAGAGACUUUAUAAAGUGGAUGGUUUUGGUGGCAGAGCAAGAAGCACCAAACUUACUGAGAAGCACAUAAAUCCAACUUCAUAUGACAAAAUGAAGGUCAAAUUUGCAGCCCAAGUUUUUAGCCGGCAAGUGGCUACAUCACUAGAAAUCCAGAUGAAGUCUCUGCUAUCUCUCAAGGAUCAUGAUUACAUAAGUUUAAAUAAAGACAUUGAAAUGGUUUGUUCACA